rnacentral:rRNA from 2 species
UGGGGAAUAUUGCACAAUGGACGCAAGUCUGAUGCAGCGACGCCGCGUGGGGGAUGAAGGCUUUCGGGUUGUAAACUCCUUUCAGUACAGAAGAAGCGAAAGUGACGGUAUGUGCAGAAGAAGCACCGGCUAACUACGUGCCAGCAGCCGCGGUAAUACGUAGGGUGCGAGCGUUGUCCGGAAUUAUUGGGCGUAAAGAGCUCGUAGGCGGUUUGUUGCGCCUGCUGUGAAAACCUGGGGCUUAACUUCGGGAUUGCAGUGGGUACGGGCAGACUAGAGUGUGGUAGGGGUAAUUGGAAUUCCUGGUGUAGCGGUGGAAUGCGCAGAUAUCAGGAGGAACACCGAUGGCGAAGGCAGGUUACUGGGCCACCACUGACGCUGAGGAGCGAAAGCGUGGGUAGCGAACAGG